CCGAAUUGUCAACAAGAGUUGUUGCUGGUCCUCAGAGCGAGGGCAUGUGCACGCUCUGUUUACACAUCCACUCACACCUGUGCACUUCCUGUAGUUCUGUAGUCAGGGAGGCCCUGCCUUCCUCCUGCAGUCCUAUGUCUCUUCACACACACACACUCAGUUGUAAAGUCUUGUGGAAUGUAUGCUGCGUUUAACGCUAUACAAUA
rnacentral:misc_RNA from 1 species